rnacentral:lncRNA from 1 species
UUUAUUCUUAUUUUUAUUGCCAAGAGGAGGAAAUCAUCCUUCCUGUCCCGUUCUUGCUGGAGCCUGGAGUAGCCAUGGAAAACAGGCCCAGCCCAGCUGGCUAGAUCCUGACCCACACGUGUCUGCUUGCCUUUGUCAUCUCAGCUGACGCCCACUAACUUCACAAAGCAGGAGCACCUACCUGGAGGCCUGGAAGCCGACUGCAAACGUGGCUUCCAUGAGGAUUCAAGACUUAACACACUGAAUAGUAUAGCUUGGGGUUCUCAGAAGAAAGAUGCCAGUGGAACAAAGAACACCACAAUUAAUGCUCUCAGUAACUUACAGUUAUGACCCUAAAGCAAAAACUAAAGCUGAUAAUUCAAGUCUGAAGUACUGAACUCCAUAAUGACGAUCCUCCAGAGAGGAA